rnacentral:lncRNA from 1 species
CGGGUGUUCGCAUGUUGAGUUUAUUCAGAGCACAAGACGUCUCUCCUUGCGUGCCAGCCGUCCACACAGGGACUCAGAGGAGAGGGGACGUCCGCGGCCGGCUGCACUUAGGAGCCCCCGUACUUCGCCGAAGCAGAGCCAGUGCCCCUCCCAGGCCCUUCCCGUCAGGCCCGCUGGUCACCACCUGUGGUCUGUCUUCGCCGGAGCUGCUGGGUCCUCCUCUCCACGUUUGUGUGAACUCUGGGUCCUGCUGACUGAAAGUGAGUUCUGUUUGUCGGCAGCCUUGUGGCUUUUGGACUUAACAGACUUGAAAUUAGUUCACGACGGUCCAGACACACAUCGCAGCUCGGAAACCACACGGGAGCCGUGCUGGGGAGGCAGCAGCCAGACUGAAAUUUACAGCAGUGACCUGGGCCUCGUCAGGCCCCUGUGACAGGGUGUCGAGUGAAUGGCUGCUUAGUCACCAAUUUGCUUGGCAAGAUGCGGUGGAUUAGGAAAUACAUAAAAGGUCAGACAGUAGGAGUUUGUCUAGACAUUCUAUUUUGGAUUCUAUGCUCGGUGUGUUUCUGUAGCAACCUUUGCAAACACCACACCGAUAUUUUAGCAAUAUUAUAAAAAGCGUUGUUCUCCGUAAUCAGGUGCAGGCCCGCUAGGUUUGCACACGGACACACCCGGUUCCUUGUUCAACCGCGGUGUCGCCGAUGCCUCAAUUCAGAAGCUGGAGGGAGACCCUCGAGAGGGCCCCUCUCCUCUCCAGGGCCUCUCCCGGCAGCGCCCGGCUCCUGGGAAGGACACACCGCUUGGGAGGAGGCCAGGCCUUCGAGAAGCUUGUCCAAGGCUCAUAGGAGAUACGCCAAGAAGUAAAAGCAGCUUGUUUUUCCUCUGGGCCUGACGGGAAGGCUAUGUGGCAUGAAGGAAGCUGAGCCCCAUUACAGUGCAUACUCUCUGUACCUGGGGGGCGUGUAAGACCUCUGAGCUGCAGCUCCUGUAAACCAGACCCUGGACGUCUGCUGUCGGGCUGUGGCACCCAGGCCAGUGUGAGGCCAUCACAGGGCAGGUGCUCAGGAUCUAGAAGCCUGGGACUCCCCACGGGCUGGGGGUGCACUGGCUGCCUCCUGAGUUUGCUCCCCAACCCAGUCAAUGGCUGCUCACCCCUCCAGGGCCCCCCUUGGCUUCUUGCCGCUAAGACUUAUUCCAAGCAGCCCGAGCAGCUGAGGUGGGUAGGCGAGGCCUCAUCCGAGAACCACCACCCCACGCCACGGUCAGGCCGCACACCUGGGAGGCAGGGACCCUCGGACGGUGGCUGGCUCAGCUGGGAUGAACACCUGUGGAGGAUUCCUGGGAAGAACACCGUUGCAUGUUUCCGCAAGAACCAGAAACCUGGUUUGUGUUUCUCGGUUUGUUUCCCUCUCGCAGGGUAACUGAGCUGUAGAGCUGGGGGCUGGGCCACUUAGAACGGUCCACCCUUUCUGGCCCCCCCGGCCUUCCUCCUGGUCCUAACGCUGGGUUCUGUCCAGGUGCCGAGCCGUCCUCGGCCCUCUCCCUUCUCCCUGUCCGUCCCUGGCAGUGCCCCAUGCGCCCAGGGCUUGGCCACCAUCUGGAAGCAGGUAACCCCUACAUCACGCGUCCAGCUGCUUGCCCGGCGCCUCCUCCGGGAUGUCUCUAAUGCACCCAGGUCCAGCGCGCCCCGUGCCCCUCUUUUCUGCACCGUGCAGCUGCUCCAGCCAGAACCCAGUGGUCAUCGACGCCUGCUCUUCCUCAUCCCACCUCCACCAGAUGGCCAACCGCCUGCUUUGCCAGCACCGCCAAGACACCUCCCGGCCCGUCUGACUUCUGGGCCCCCUGAGGCUCCCAUGAUGUCCCGUACAGAACGUACCCAGGAGGGUGAACGGGCAGCGUGCCCUUGGCGAGCACUGAGUGAGCCUCCUCUUGGCGAGCUCACACGGGCAGUGAGUGAAGUCGGGGCCACGCAGCAGCUGAGCACAGCCCCUCCCAGGCCUCUGGGGCUCAGGGCUCUGACCUCUCCACCGGCCCCGCCCCUCCCUCCUGCUCCCCGGGGCUGGCUCGGCCCUUCGCAGGCACGACCUGAGCUGCCCUGGUUCUUGAGGUUCCUACAGACGCGGCGCCAGGCGGAAGGUCGGGAAGGCCCCUGCCCAGGACGCCAGUCGUGGGAGCUGCACAUCCUGUCAUUGGACGGCCCUGCCUGCGACACGGGAGGAACUGGAAGGAAGGUGUAGUCAAGGUGAGCAUCCUAAGAUGGGCGCACCCUGGAUCAUCUGGAUCGGCACCAACACCAUGACAGAUGUUCUCGUAAGAGAAAGUAAAGCAGAAGAGAGAAAGAGAAGUCCGUGUGAAGAGGGGCAGAGCCGGGGGUGAGGAACACCCGGAAUUGUUGGAGCCGCUGGAUGCUGCCGGGCGAGGGGCCUGGAUCGUACUCUCCUCAGAGCACCAGAAGGACAACCCUGCCCAGCCCUUGAUCUCGGGCUCCCGGCCUCCAGAACCAGGAGACAGUGGAUUCCUGCUGCCUUACGCCGCCCAGUCUGUGAGACCCGCCGUCUCAGACCAGGCGCAUGCUGUGCUGCGACGUCGCGCCCAGCUCCCUCUGUCCUGGCCCCGCUGGCUUGCCGCCACCUUGCUGGUGGCAUGCGUCCCAGGCCUCCCUCUGGAUUUGUGUAGCAUCUCUGAGGACGCCACCUACACAGCUGCCCAGGGUCAUUCUGGGUGUCGCCACACACGUGUGGCUGACGGGCUCCGUGUAACAUGACAUGUGCACACCUCUCUACAUUUAGCUCCCUCGCUUUUCAAGCCAUUGUCUUGAUAUCAAACAGUGUUAUAAUUUUUGUCUCAAUCAUCAAAAAUGACAUAGAAGGAGGACAACCCCAUGGCCAAGUGGUUAAGUUCACGUGCUCUGCUUCGGCGGCCCAGGGUUUCCCCAAUUUGGAUCCUGGGCGAGGACGUGGCACCGCUUGUCAGGCCAUGCUGAGCGGUGUCCCACAUGCCACAACCAGAGGCACUCACAGCUAGAAUAUACAACCGUGUAGUGGGGGCUCUGGGGAGGAGAAGAAGAAGGAAAAAGGAUUGGCAACAGAUGCUGGCUCAGCUGCCAACCUUUAAAAAAAAUUAAAAACAAAUGAUGUACAAGACAGGGGUGGAAUGGACAGCACGUGCCCAUGUUUGUGCUCCUCCCUGACGCUCUAGGAUUCUUUCUGUCAUUCCUUUCUGGCUGAAAAGCUCCCUUUACCCAUUUUUGGAGGGUUGGUCUCUGGUGACAAACUCUUUUAGCCUAGGUUUUCUAGGGUUUUUUUAAAGAUUUUAUUUUUC